GACGAUUGUCGUGUCAGGACCACUGCCCACGUAUCGACGAGGACACGAAAGACUGUUUCGCGCUGAUGGAUUACACCCGAGCAGAAUUGGAGCGGAGCUUCUCUCUGACAACAUCUCCAGGACACUUCGCUCCAUGUGACUAGAUUUACACAAGCUCCAGUCUGGAUCCAGAACACCUGAGAAGAGAUGAUGCUGACCCUCAGAGGACCCCAGAUGAUGCUAACCUUGAAUCAACAAACAGAACUAACAAUUAUUGCUAAAUGUGUGACUGAAUCAUAUAAUAGCUUAAUUAAUAAUAUUGAUAGUUCAUCGUCUAGCUGACUACGUCUUGUAUUAUUAUUAUUUUUUUUUUUUCAAAAAUCCUGUCAAAUGUGCACAAACUACUAGCUACUACUAAAUAUUGUAGAAACAUAAUUUUCUGUAAAGUUGCUUUGUAACGAUUUAUUUUGUAAAAAGCGC